UGCAAAUACUCCAAGCCCUUUGCAGCACCGGCAGCUAUCUUCAUUCUUGUAUUCCAAUCAAGUCGUUUUUUAUCAGGUGGAAGGUCAUGUAAAUGGUCUUCCAAAGAUCCUAAUGGCAUGUAUUCAUAAACCAAAAGUCUUUGAUCUCCAUCAGCACAGUAGCCAAUCAAGUUAACAAGAUUAGGAUGGUGAAGUANAGCUCAACAUUAAUACUUCAACAAGAAACUCCCUGUUUCCUUGGAGGCCAUUACGAUCAAGUUGCUUGAUGGCUACAACCUGAUUGGUACUUUCCAAUCUCCCUUUAUAUACUUGGCCAAAACCAC
rnacentral:misc_RNA from 1 species